UACGUAGGGUGCGAGCGUUGUCCGGAAUUAUUGGGCGUAAAGGGCUCGUAGGCGGUUUGUCGCGUCGGGAGUGAAAUCCACUGGCUUAACUGGUGGCUUGCUUUCGAUACGGGCAGACUGGAGGUAUGCAGGGGAGAACGGAAUUCCUGGUGUAGCGGUGAAAUGCGCAGAUAUCUGGAGGAACACCGGUGGCGAAGGCGGCAUCCUGGACCGGUAUUGACGCUGAGGCGCGAAAGCCAGGGGAGCAAACGGG
rnacentral:rRNA from 1 species